GACGAACGCUGGCGGCGUGCUUAACACAUGCAAGUCGAACGAAGUGGCGAACGGGUGAGUAACGCGUAAUCAACUUGCCCUUUAGAGGGGGACAAUAGUUGGAAACGACUGCUAAUACGGCACAUUGAAGGAGGGGAUUGUGUCUGAUUAGCUAGUUGGGGGGGUAACGGCCCACCAAGGCGAUGAUCAGUAGCCGGUCUGAGAGGAUGAACGGCCACAUUGGGACUGAGACACGGCCCAGACGCCUACGGGAGGCAGCAGUGGGGAAUCUUCCGCAAUGGACGAAAGUCUGACGGAGCAACGCCGCGUGGGUGAUGACGGCCUUCGGGUUGUAAAGCUCUGUUAGUCGGGACGCGGUACCGGAAUAGAAAGCCACGGCUAACUACGUGCCAGCGGCCGCGGUAAUAC
rnacentral:rRNA from 1 species